UAAAAGUAACUUUCUUGAGCCCGGGAAGCAAGGUUCUUAUCUUGCUGAUUGUUUCAACCGCAUGGAAGAAUGCACCAAAAAUCCCGAAGGUCCUAUUCGUUUCAGAGAGUCUGGCAGGCAUAGAUUCCAUCCCUUCAGGUACAAGCAUCUUGGUCAAUUUGCUCUGUUAGGAGGAGAGCAAACAGCAGCCCAACUCCCCAGUGAUUGGUUAUCUAUUGGUCAUAGCUCUUAGUGGCUUUGGUACUCUGUGUAUGCAAGCAAGCAAGUCAGUUGGCGUACAAGGUCGUUGGUGGUCAGACUGGAUGAGGCGUUUCAUCUUUGGGAGGGAUUCGAGUCAAAUAUGAGUUGACUUCAACAUAUGCGAUAUAUGCAUAAUGAUAAGUCCCUCAUAAAGGCAAGUUUUGGUGCAUGAUCCAUACAUUUUACCCGAUUCAUUUUUGUUUUGUAAACAUAUGCUGCUCUCUGUUCUUUGUUAUGUUUUUUGUUAAUAAGAAGCAAUGUCAUAAAUCGUA